GACGGGGGAUGCAAGUGUUAUCCGGAAUCACUGGGCGUAAAGCGUCUGUAGGUGGUUGAAUAAGUCAACUGUUAAAUCUUGAGGCUCAACCUCAAAACCGCAGUCGAAACUAUUAGACUAGAGUAUAGUAGGGGUAAAGGGAAUUUCCAGUGGAGCGGUGAAAUGCGUAGAGAUUGGAAAGAACACCAAUGGCGAAGGCACUUUACUGGGCUAUAACUGACACUCAGAGACGAAAGCUAGGGUAGCAAAUGGG
rnacentral:rRNA from 1 species